CAGCCUGCUUUUCCCCUUCCCCAGUCUCUGCUUUGGAGAAUAAAAAAUAAAAACAAAUGAAGCAUUCCUUUUAAAUUUUUUUUAAAACAUUGAAGAACCUUUUAGAAAACCCCAAUAAAAUUUAUCCAUUAUUUCUCUUAUUUUUCCUAAAAAACAAAGAGAAAGCUCUCAAAUCUUUUCCUUUUCAACCAGUGCCACCUUCAUCGGAGAUCUGGCGUGCCGAGGCAGCCGACGUCGCGAGUUCACCGGUAUGGCGAGGAUCACGGAGGCCGUGGAUUGCACGAAUAACGGCGUACGAUACGGAGGUGGGUAGCAGCGUGUGGGAGGGGGGCUGCUUCGGGUGUGUAGCGCUGAAAAGAUGUUGCUGCUAGGGUUUUUUCAUUAGGUUUAGGUGGGUUUUGGGGUAUUGGGUUAUUGGGUGUAUUGGGCUUAGAGAUUAGGUUAGGUUUAAUUAGGUAAUUGUUUUGGGUUUUAAAAGUAUUGGGCCCUGGGUAUAAAUUGGGCUUAACACAUAUUUUAAGAAAAUUGAAUUUAUUUAUAAUAAGGGUAUAAUGAUGAAUUUAUUUAUUUA